rnacentral:rRNA from 1 species
AAUGAAGCUACUAAGGGCACACGGUGGAUGCCUUGGCACCAAGGGCCGAAGAAGGGCGUGGCUGGCUGCGAUAAGCCUGGGGGAGCCGCCAGCAGGCUGUGAUCCCAGGAUUCCCGAAUGGGGAAACCCGCGUGGGGGAAUGCCCACGCAUCACCGGCUGAAAUUCCGAGUAGGCCGGUGAAGGGAACCGGGGGAACUGAAACAUCUUAGUACCCCGAGGAAAAGAAACCAUUCCCUGAGUAGUGGCGAGCGAAAGGGGAUCAGCCCAAACCGGCGUAACUUAGUGGCCUGCCGGCCUAUGUUACGCCGGGGUUGCGGGGUGCCAGUUGAGGGGCGGCAGCAACCCUCAGGGAGUUACAAAACCGGCGCUUAGCGGAAUGGUCCUGGAAAGGCCAGCCGUAGAGGGUGAAAGCCCCGUACGCGAAAAGCGACCGGUCUCCCGGACUGGCAUUCCCGAGUACCACGGGGCACGUGGAACCCUGUGGGAAGCUGGGUGGACCACCACCCAAGGCUAAAUACCCUUGGUGACCGAUAGUGGACAAGUACCGUGAGGGAAAGGUGAAAAGCACCCCGGUGAGGGGAGUGAAAUAGAACCUGAAACCGUGUGCCUACAAGCAGUCGGAGGGCUAUGCCCGGUCUGUGACCGGGAAGGCCUGACGGCGUGCCUUUUGGAGAAUGAGCCGGGGAGUUACUCUCUGUGGCGAGGUUAAGGCAGACACAGCCGGAGCCGUAGCGAAAGCGAGUCCGAACAGGGCGUUCAGUCGCAGGGAGUAGACCCGAAACCGGGUGAGCUACCCAUGGCCAGGGUGAAGGUGGGGUAACACCCACUGGAGGCCCGAACCGGUUGGCGUUGCAAAGCCAUCGGAUGAGCUGUGGGUAGGGGUGAAAUGCCAAACGAACCCGGAGAUAGCUGGUUCUCCCCGAAAUAGCUUUAGGGCUAGCGUCGCGCGUUCACUACCGGAGGUAGAGCACUGGAUGGGCUAGGGGGCGCGAGCCUACCAAACCCAACCAAACUCCGAAUGCCGGUAGUCUAAAGCGCGGCAGUCGGACUGUGGGGGAUGAGCUCCAUAGUCGAGAGGGAAACAGCCCAGACCGCCAGCUAAGGUCCUCAAGUCCAGGCUAAGUGGGAAAGGAUGUGGGGCUACUGUGACAGCCAGGAGGUUGGCUUAGAAGCAGCCAUCCUUUAAAGAGUGCGUAAUAGCUCACUGGUCUAGUGGCCCUGCGCCGAAAAUUCAACGGGGCUCAAGCCUGGCACCGAAGCUGCGGGUCUCGGUUGCCUACGGCAACCGGGGCAGUAGGGGAGCGUUCUGCGUGCGCAGAAGCCGUACCGCGAGGAGCGGUGGAGCGCGCAGAAGUGAGAAUCCCGGCAUGAGUAGCGUAAAAACACGUGAGAAGCGUGUUCGCCGUAAGCCUAAGGUUUCCGACGGAAGGUACGUCCGCGUCGGGUUAGGCGGGAGCUAAGGCGAGGCCGAAAGGCGUAGCCGAUGCACAGCCGGUUAAUAUUCCGGCCCCACCUGAGCGGAGCGAUGGGGGGACGCAGGAGGGUAGCCCAGCCGGGCGUCGGUCGUCCCGGUGCCAAGCCUGUAGGGCGAUGACGGGAGGAGGCAAAUCCCCUCCCCGAGCCUGAGAGGUGAUGGCGGGCCUUCGGGCCAGAAGUGGGUGAGCCCAUACUGCCGAGAAAAGCCUCUAAGCGUUGAUGCUCAGGUGCCCGUACCGCAAACCGACACCGGUAGGCGGGUGGAGAACACCAAGGCGUUCGGGAGAACCCUCGCUAAGGAACUCGGCAAAUUGCACCCGUAACUUCGGGAGAAGGGUGGCCCCGGUAGGGUGAAGGCCCUCGCGGCCGGAGCCCGAGGGGGUUGCAGAGAGCAGGCCCUGGCGACUGUUUACCAAAAACACAGGUCUCUGCGAACCCGUAAGGGGACGUAUAGGGGCUGACGCCUGCCCAGUGCCGGAAGGUUAAGGGGAGGGCUGAGGCCGUAAGGCGUAGGCCCGAACCGAAGCCCCGGUGAACGGCGGCCGUAACUAUAACGGUCCUAAGGUGGCUGCGCUGCCUGCCCACAGGGUAACCUGUGGGGCAAUACCCGGCUGUAUGCGGGAACACCCUUAGAGCCCUGUCUACCAGGGGAGAUUACCUCCCCGGUAACAAUGGCAGGGAUUGGGCAACCCGCAGGAAACCCACCUCCAGGUGGGGAUCCUCAGAGACUAUACGCCGGGCAUCCGACCUGAAGGAGUCAUGAUCAUGGACUUGUCUCCAGAUUGGGUGGUGGGUUUUGUCGACGGAGAAGGAUGCUUCUAUGUCGGUAUCAAUCCCCACCCAGAGAUGAGCACCGGAUACCAGGUCCUUCCUGAAUUCCGCAUCGUCCAGCACGAACGGGAUAUCCAGGUGCUCUACGCCCUCAAGCGCUUCUUCCGGUGUGGCGUUGUCCGCCGCAACCGGGAAGACCGCUACGAACUUCGCAUUCGCAAACUCUCCUGUUUGCUCCAGGUGGUGGAUUUCUUUGAACGCCACCCCCUGAAAACGAAGAAGAACGUGGAUUUCCAAAAAUUCGCACGUAUCGUGCGUUGGAUGUCCGAGGGCAAACACCUGGAACGGGAAGGACUCAUCCGCAUCGUCGAACUGGCCAUGACCAUGAACCGGGCCGACAAGCCUAAGGCCCAGAAGAUCUUGCACGAUCUGAAGCAACAGGUCGGAUGAAGAUAUAGUCCACCCCUGGCGGAAACGUCAGGAACAAGGUGAGCGAAAUUCCUUGUCGGGUAAGUGAAGAACUUGCCCCGCCAUCCCGUGAGGGAUGGCAGCACGCCGGCUCAUAUCGGAGAAGCCCUCCUGCGCUAGCGGGGCGCAGUGGGUAACUCCGAGGGAAGUCGCCCCACCAUGUGGGGUUGACCCCGUAACGACUGACCCGAAAGGGGAGGCGCACACACCUCCGGUGCGCAACACGCCGGCUCUCACUCCCGUGCCCAGCACGGGCCUGAGAACAGGGGGCAACUACGGAGGCAUCCUUCAAAAACGGAGGUCGUGUGAUACAGCGACUACAUCCGUGGUACGUGACAGGUCUGGUGGAAGGAGAGGGUACCUUUUCGGUGAGUUUCAACAAACGGUCUCGGUUGUCCGUGGGUAUUGAAACUCGACCUUCCUUCUCGGUGACUCUCCACCGACGGGACCUGCCACUCCUGAAAGCAUUACGAGCCUUCUUUGGAUGCGGGGCGAUUCGGUACAGCCGCUCUGACGGCACCUACAAAUACGAGGUGCGGUCGGUGGCGGACCUGGCCAAGAAAAUCGUCCCUCAUUUCGAGAAGUACCCGUUGGCCGGAGCCAAAGGGGAAGACUUCCGCAAGUUCGCCGAAAUUGUGCGCUUGGUUCAUGCCAAGCACCACUUGAAUCGGCAGCACUUGCGGCACAUUAUCGAGUUAGCCUACUCGAUGAACCCCUCCGGCAAGCGGAAAUACGAGAAGGAUGACCUCCUACGGUUGCUCGGUGAGAUGAAGGUAUAGUCUGCGCCCUAUGGAAACAUAGGGGAAAAGCGAAGUUCCGACCCGCACGAAAGGCGUAACGACUGGGGCACUGUCUCGGCGAGGGACCCGGUGAAAUUGAAGUAGGAGUGAAGAUGCUCCUUACCCGCAGCAGGACAAAAAGACCCCGUGGAGCUUUACUGCAGCUUGGCAUUGAGUCAUGGCUUAGCCUGUAUAGGAUAGGUGGGAGGCUGUGAAGCCGGGGCGCCAGCCUCGGUGGAGCCGCCGGUGGAAUACCACCCUGGCUAAGUCGUGGCCCUAACCCCACGCCGUUAUCCGGGUGGGGGACAGUGCCUGGUGGGCAGUUUGACUGGGGCGGUCGCCUCCUAAAAGGUAACGGAGGCGCCCAAAGGUCCCCUCAGGUGGAAUGGAAACCCACCGUCGAGUGUAAAGGCAUAAGGGGGCUUGACUGCAAGGCCUACAAGCCGAGCAGGUGCGAAAGCAGGGCUUAGUGAUCCCACGGUUCCGUGUGGAAGGGCCGUGGCUUAACGGAUAAAAGCUACCCCGGGGAUAACAGGCUGGUCUCGCCCAAGAGUUCACAUCGACGGCGAGGCUCGGCACCUCGAUGUCGGCUCGUCCCAUCCUGGGGCUGGAGCAGGUCCCAAGGGUUGGGCUGUUCGCCCAUUAAAGGGGUACGUGAGCUGGGUUCAGACCGUCAAACGGGGCGGCCUUGCACGGGUAACCGGCAAGGACAAACCGGCUCAUAACGGGGAAGCCCUCCGGCCUUCCGACCAGGCGACUGAGGGUAAUCCCGUGGGAAGGUGGAAGGUAUGGAUGAAAGCCGUUGGGCUUACAUCGCUGGGUUUCUGGAUGGAGAUGGCAGCGUCAUCCUCCAGCUGAAACCCAGGGCUGACUACCGAUAUGGUUUUCAAAUCAAAUCGACUGUCAGCUUCUUUCAAAGCGCUCAAGGCAAAGAUGUCCUGCUCUGGUUGUACAAGACCAUAGGGUAUGGGCGGUUGAGACAACGAAACGAUGGCAUCUGGGAGUACAACAUUGAAGGAUGGCAACCUGUGUUGCAUUUCUUGCGAAAAAUUCGCCCGUAUGUCGUGGCGAAGGAAAAACAGGUUGUCACUGCAAUAGAACUCCUGGAGGAGAUGUUGCAAACGCCUAAACCCACACCAGAGCAGUUCCUUGAGUGGGCCCAACGAGUGGAGUCCUAUCAAACCCUAAACUACUCCAAGAAGCGCAAAUACACCGUAGAGGAUGUCAGGCGCUUCUUGAGUGGCAAGGGUCUCCUUCCAUCCCCGUAGAGACUGAGGCCGCAAGGCCGAGGCUCUGCCUCCCCACCGUCAAGGUGGCAAACUAUAGGCAGGGCAAUACGCCGGGCUCCUCGAAAGGGGAGUGUGGUAUAGUCCACCCCUGAGGAAACUCAGGAUUAAGGUGCGUGAGACAGGUCGGUCUCUAUCCGCUGCGGGCGUAGGUGACUUGAGGGGAGCUGCCCCUAGUACGAGAGGACCGGGGUGGACGGACCUCUGGUGUGCCAGUUGUCCCGCCAGGGGCACCGCUGGGUAGCCAUGUCCGGAUGGGAUAACCGCUGAAAGCAUCUAAGUGGGAAGCCCACCCCAAGAUUAGGUCACCCUCCGGGUUAACCGGGUAAGGCCACUGGGAGACGACCAGUUUGAUAGGCGGCAGGUGUAAGCGGGGUAACCCGUUGAGCUGAGCCGUACUAAUGGCCGAGCGGCUUCAUUC